rnacentral:rRNA from 1 species
CCUACGUGAGGCAGCAGUGAGGAAUAUUGGUCAAUGGGCGCGAGCCUGAACCAGCCAAGUAGCGUGAAGGAUGACUGCCCUACGGGUUGUAAACUUCUUUUAUAAAGGAAUAAAGUGAUGCACGUGUGCCUUUUUGUCUGUACUUUAUGAAUAAGGAUCGGCUAACUCCGUGCCAGCAGCCGCGGUAAUACGGAGGAUCCGAGCGUUAUCCGGAUUUAUUGGGUUUAAAGGGAGCGUAGAUGGGUUGUUAAGUCAGUUGUGAACGUUUGCGGAUCAACCGUAAAAUUGCAAUUGAUACUGGCAGUCGUGAGUACAGGUGAGGUAGGGGGAAUUCGUGGGGUAGCGGUGAAAUGCUUAGAUAUCACGAAGAACUCCGAUUGCGAAGGCAGCCUACUAAACUGCCACUGACAUUGAUGCUCGAAAGUGUGGGUAUCAAACAGGAUUAGAUACCCGUGUAGUC